rnacentral:rRNA from 1 species
GACGAACGCUGGCGGCGUGCUUAACACAUGCAAGUCGAACGGAAAGGCCCUGCUUUUGUGGGGUGCUCGAGUGGCGAACGGGUGAGUAACACGUGAGUAACCUGCCCUUGACUUUGGGAUAACUUCAGGAAACUGGGGCUAAUACCGGAUAGGAGCUCCUGCUGCAUGGUGGGGGUUGGAAAGUUUCGGCGGUUGGGGAUGGACUCGCGGCUUAUCAGCUUGUUGGUGGGGUAGUGGCUUACCAAGGCUUUGACGGGUAGCCGGCCUGAGAGGGUGACCGGCCACAUUGGGGAUGAGAUACGGCCCAGCCUCCGACGGGAGGCAGCAGUGGGGAAUAUUGCACAAUGGGAGGAAGCCUGAUGCAGCAACGCCGCGUGCGGGAUGACGGCCUUCGGGUUGUAAACCGCUUGCGCCUGUGACGAAGCGUGAGUGACGGUAAUGGGUAAAGAAGCACCGGCUAACUACGUG